rnacentral:rRNA from 1 species
AUUGAACGCUGGCGGCAGGCCUAACACAUGCAAGUCGAGCGGAUGAAGGGAGCUUGCUCCUGGAUUCAGCGGCGGACGGGUGAGUAAUGCCUAGGAAUCUGCCUGGUAGUGGGGGAUAACGUCCGGAAACGGGCGCUAAUACCGCAUACGUCCUGAGGGAGAAAGUGGGGGAUCUUCGGACCUCACGCUAUCAGAUGAGCCUAGGUCGGAUUAGCUAGUUGGUGGGGUAAAGGCCUACCAAGGCGACGAUCCGUAACUGGUCUGAGAGGAUGAUCAGUCAAACUGGAAAUGAGACACGGUCCAGACUCCUACGGGAGGCAGCAGUGGGGAAUAUUGGACAAUGGGCGAAAGCCUGAUCCAGCCAUGCCGCGUGUGUGAAGAAGGUCUUCGGAUUGUAAAGCACUUUAAGUUGGGAGGAAGGGCAGUAAGUUAAUACCUUGCUGUUUUGACGUUACCAACAGAAUAAGCACCGGCUAACUUCGUG